rnacentral:pre_miRNA from 1 species
GGGUCCGGAUGGUGCAAGUUGUUAAAACAAGUUGGUCAAAUUGCACUGUUCCCGGCCUGC